CAGGGAUUGUAGCUGUUGAGGUCUGACAUUAGCUUGAGAUUAGUGUCUGCUCGAUGAUACAGUAUGUACACAUAGAUAGAAAGAAAGGAAUUGAGGAAACGCCUUUUGUAAAGAUCACGGUGUCUCACUCUAUCGACAGGUUGCGGGUAUGCUGGAGCCUAUCCCAGCUGACUCUGAGCGAGGGGCGGUAUACACCCUGAACUGGUCGCCAGUCAAUUUCAGGAAAACCGGAGUACCCGCAGAAAACCCAUGGAGGGACGGGAUGAACAUGCAAACGCCACACAGCCGGGGCUGGAUUUGAACCCCGGUCCUCAGAAUUGUGAGGCAGAUGUGCUAAACAGUCGUCCACCGUGCCGCCCAAAGAAAGAUUAUAACAUAUCCUCUACAAAGCCUGCUGCUGUUUGUGUAAUGCAGAGUGCAUUAUAGGCAUGCGGUCUAUGAGCUACCAUAUUAGUUAUGUUGGAUGUCUACCUUGUCUUCUUUGAUGGAGUAGGCGUCACAAUAUUACGAUAAUGUGAGCAUGAGACUGCCAAUCAAUACCGAGGCGGAGCUCUGAAAACCCAGCACUCCAUUGUUUUAGAUGCCCCCGACGCUCCCCUUUGCAUCCUAAUGAGUACAAAGUGCAGUG